rnacentral:rRNA from 1 species
UACGUAGGGUGCGAGCGUUAAUCGGAAUUACUGGGCGUAAAGCGUGCGCAGGCGGUUCGCCAAGUCAGGUGUGAAAUCCCCGGGCUUAACCUGGGAAUUGCGCUUGAAACUAGCGGGCUUGAGUGUGGCAGAGGGGGGUGGAAUUCCACGUGUAGCAGUGAAAUGCGUAGAGAUGUGGAGGAACACCGAUGGCGAAGGCAGGUCUCUGGGCCACUACUGACGCUGAGAAGCGAAAGCAUGGGGAGCGAACAGG